UUUUUUUUUAUAUUUGUCCGGGAUUGGUUUUGUUUUGUAUGUUACAAAAAGCUCCCAGCACGUUCACGGCAUGGUACCCGUACUCAUGCAUUUUGACUUCCAACUUUCCACAACUUCAUGGCACCAAAGUGUAAGUUUUUAAUCUCUUUAUUAACUUUUAUGUUAAAUGCAAGUCAUAUUAAGAAUGCAUACGCAUAUUUGUUAUUGUACACUUGUUGACCCCGAUGUGAUAAGCAGCCAGUAUAUCGUGACAUGCAGGUAGUUUAUAUUGUCUAAAUUUGAUUAAUUGAUAUUUCAUGGUUAUCUUAUCUCUGAUAGAUCUUUAAUGAUGUUAUUCAUUGCUGUUAUUAUUUCUUUCUGUGUAAAUGGGGCACGCUCGCUUAUUUUCUGAACGUACUAUAUAUUGACCUUUCACGUGUUCGAUAUGUAAAUCGCUCUGUGUAAAUUGCUCACAGUUUAAAUUUUUUCUCAAAGGUUGUGAUGAUUACAUUUAAGUUUUCACAUAUCAGUAUCAAUAUUUUAUAAGUCUUCUAGUGUGUGUAUUUAGAAUUCAAGAUUUUUGAUAACUUUGUAAAGCUUUUGGUGCAUGUUAUUCUUGAUUUACUGAAAUUUGAUAUCUUUAGCAUGAAAUGUGUAGAUAUGUUCUGAAUAACAUAUUACAUGUUUAUUAUAAACCAUGCCACUUAUCUUUUGUGCAGAACCUGUUGUAAUAGGAUCUUAUUUUUGUUUACAGUAUUUUACCCUCCCUGGAGGUUGUCUCUCUGCCAUUAAAAGUAAAGAAACAUACAUCGUCUUUCUUGUGACAGAAUAGUAAAAUAACUUCGACAUGGCUAUGGAACGGGAAAGGAAACUCACAGAGGCUGGAGCCGAGUUGUUCAUGGACAGAUGCAGGAAAUAUGAUCGGGAAAUAAAACAUAUUCAAAAGGAAAUUGAUGUCCUAAUAUCCACUCUUCAGGAAUAUCCAGAAAUAUCGGAUGCAGAGAUGGUACAUAAGCAGAUAAAACAAGCUAGUGGUGAUUUUAAAAGACUUUCAGAUCAUUAUGUUGACUUUCUUGUAAAACACAGAUCAGUUGAAAGCGAAACAGAAAGGAUUUCACAUUUGAAAUUAAGAGAUAAUGUAACGAGGGCUGUUACCGAGGUUCUCACUCAACGCACACAAGUUGCAACAAAAGAUCCUAGCUGUGACAGACAAAGCGUUAAAUCUGGAUCAGGCCGAUCAAUCCUUUCAUCUACUCAGUCUGCGAUUAUUCAGAAAAGAGCUGCACUUGAGGCUGCGAAAGUGAAAAUGAAAUACGUCGAGAAACAAGCUGCCAUUAUGACCCAAAAGGCAGCAUUGGAAGCGGAAAUCAGUCUACUUGAAAUCCAACAAGAAACCGAAGCCUUACAAUCAGCACUGAAUGUGAUGGAAAAUGCAGAACAGUUAGAUGAUAUAGAAACAGAAUCUAUUACUGAAGCUCGACAAGCAAGGACAAGUGAAUUUAUUCAACAACAUUUUGUGAAUUCCACUAACACUUCUGUUCAGCCACCUGUGCAAGCAAUUACAAGUACUUUGACAUCCGCUGUGCAACCGCCUGUACAGUCCACUGAUAGCACGUUCACAUCAGCUGUGCGACCUCGUGUGCAAUUCACUGAUAGUGCAUUCACGUCAACUGUGCAAACAUCUAUGCAGUCUAGUGAAACAUUUGUUCCUUUAUCGACAUUGGCAAAUUUAUGUUCCACACCUAUGAAUGAAAAUUGGCGUACAGCAUAUCAACCAACGCAAACCAUGGUACACUCUAGUCCCUUGCUUGCAACUUCAUCACAAACAAGUCAUGUGUAUGAUUUGCCGCCACCCUUUGCGCCGCGUUCAGACGUACUAUCUCAGCCGAAUCAUCUAUUGAAUACUGAAGCGCCAACCUUUGUGCCACAUUCGAGCAUACUGCCUCAGCCGAAUCACUUAUUAAAUACUGAAGUGCCAACCUUUAUGCCGCGUUCGGGUAUACUAUCUCAGGCAAAUUCUAUAGUGACUACUCAAACGCCUACCUUUGUGCCAUAUUCGAGUUUACCGUCUCAGCCAAAUCCGGUGACUACUCAAACCUCAGGAUCACAAUACGGUAAUCGCUACACAUCAGUCAAUAUGAUGCCACAUGUAGACAAUUCGCAGGUUGAACUUUGUCAGAUAAUGACUAGGAUGAUGGCCAGAAAAGAUGUAGUGCUUUCGCGUCUCAUUAAAUACAAUGAUAGUCCCAUCCAAUAUUUGUCUUGGAAACAAACAUUUAAAGCUGUAAUGUUAGAACUUGCAGUUACACCAUCAGAGGAACUGGAUCUCAUGAUCAAAUGGCUGGGUCCAGAUUCAUCCAGGCAGGCUGAAUGCAUAAAAACGGCCAGUGCAGGAAAUCACGUGGAUGCAUUACACAAAUUGUGGGAUAGACUUGACAUUCGGUAUGGCAGUCCUGAAUUGAUAGAAGCGUGCUUACGAAACAAACUUACGAACUUCCCAAAGCUUUCAAACACUCCGGCUGACAGCAAACGACUUUAUGAUUUGUACGACCUCUUGAGUGAAAUUCAGUGUGUCAAGGCCAACCCGCUCUAUUCUUCAGUGCUUGCAAUGUAUGAUUCAUCCACAGGAGUAAACCAAAUAGUAUCUCGCUUGCCGACCAAUCUACAAGAAAAGUGGUCAUCUCGCGCCAAUACUUACAAAAAUCAACAUGGAAUGCUAUUUCCUCCGUUCAGUUAUUUUGUCAACUUCAUCUACGACAUGGCAAAAUGGCGCACUGACCCGAGUUUUCAGUACAACACUAGCACACUAUCUUCUCAGAAACAGUCAGCAAAUAAUCAACCCCAAAUUCGCGUGAACGCAAGGAAAACGGAACUUUCUACAAACUCUACAGCUGAGGACAAAUUGAUGUGCCCCGUGCACAACACAAACCACAAUUUGAAUCAGUGCAGGACUUUCCGUCAGAAACCCAUGAAAGAGCGAAUGGAGAUUCUAAAGAAAAACAAACUUUGUUUCCGUUGCUGCAGUUUGAAACGACACACCAAGAACAAAUGCCAAGAGACUAUCCGAUGUGAUGUUUGUAAUCAGACAAGUCACCCGACUGGACUUCAUGUAUUGCGUGUUCAAAAUGUACAGCAACCCUCUCAUAACAAGGAUGAGAAUCUUACAGAAGAUGACAAUCGGCAUGGAGGGGAGUCACGGACCGGUGUUAAUACAAAAUGUACACAGGUUUGUGGGACUGACAAAAUUUGUAGCAAGUCAUGCGCAAAAAUUCUACAAGUGUAUGUCUACAAUGAGGACCAACCCAUGCAGGCUCGCAAGGUCUACGCAUUGAUCGACGAUCAAAGCAAUUACUCCCUUGGAAAACCGGAACUGUUUGACAACUUUGAUGAUCAUUCGGAACACAUAAACUUCACUUUAUCAACCUGUUCAGGGAAAGUUUCCGCGACUGGCAGAAAAGGCAACAAUUAUGUUGUUGAGUCCGCAGAUCAUAGUGUCAGGAUUAAGAUUCCGUCUCUUAUCGAGUGUUCAGACAUUCCCGAUAAUAGACAUGAAAUACCUUCUCCGGAAGUAGUGAAAAACUUUCCUCAUCUUUGUGAUUUGGUAUCGUACAUACCACCAGUUGAUGACAGUGUACACAUAGAACUCUUGAUAGGUCGUGACGUUAUACAAGCACACCAUGUUGUGGAUCAGAGGUUAGGCGGUGAUAACUUACCCUACGCUCACAAAUUACCUCUUGGUUGGGUUGUGGUUGGUGAAUCUUGUAUUGGAGCUCUCCAUGGACGUGAAUCUGUUCAAACAAUCACAGUUAGCAAAACUCACAUUCUUGCUAAUGGUAGAGCAACCUAUCUGGAACCAUGUGUUAACACGUUAACCAUCAAAGAAAACUCGAUCUUCGAGAAAACGCCACAGGAUGAGAGGCUUGGUCCAUCAGUGGAAGACGAGCUUUUUAUAAGUCUCAUGGAAAGUAAGGUUACGAAGGACUGUGAUGAUCGCUGGACUGCACCACUUCCCUUUCGCGAAAAUAGAAAGCUGUUGCCUAACAACAGAACUCAAGCCUUGCAGCGUGUUAAAUCAUUAGACCGUUCACUCCAGAAAGAUGAAGUCAAGAAGAAACACGUUGUUGAAUUCAUGGGAAAAAUGUUCGAAAACGGUCAUGCUGAGGUAGCACCACCUUUGCCAACACUUAGUGAACAAUGGUACCUACCGUUUUUCGGAAUUUAUCAUCCCAAGAAACCUGGAAAAGUUAGAGUCGUCUUCGAUUCGUCAGCAGUGUUCAGGGGAACGUCUUUGAAUGACGUAUUAAUGAAAGGACCGGAUUUAACCAAUAAUUUAUUGGGAGUACUCUUGCGAUUUCGGAAGGAAGCUAUAGCUCUUACAGCUGACGUGGAGCACAUGUUUUACAACUUCAAGGUGGACGAAACUCAUCGCAAUUAUUUACGAUUUGUGUGGCACGAAAAUAAUGACAUUUCACAACCGUUGAUGGACUACAGGAUGACAGUCCAUGUUUUCGGAAACUCUCCGUCUCCAUCUGUUGCAACCUUUUGUCUCAGAAAAUCCGUUGAGAAUGCAGACAGUGAUGUCCGAGAUUUUGUCUGUAAAAACUUUUAUGUGGACGAUGGACUCAUUUCUUGUCCAGAUCCUGACUCGGCAAUUGAUCUCAUGAAGCGCACACAGAAAGCGUUAGAAAUUGGAGGACGGUUGCGUUUGCAUAAGAUUGUCUCGAACAGCACAACUGUGUUACAGAAUUUCCCAUCAGAUGAUUUGUCAGCAGAUCUCAAGGAAUUGGAUCUUGGAUCUGACACUCCGCCAAUUCAGCGCAGUCUAGGGUUAUCAUGGGACAUUUCUACUGAUAGAUUUGUGUUCAGAGCGUCGACAGAAAACAAACCCUAUACCCGUAGAGGUGCGUUAUCAGUGAUCAAUAGUCUGUUUGAUCCCAUAGGAUUUGCAGCCCCCAUGACUUUGUAUGGGAAAUUGCUUCUCAGGGAAAUGAUGUCAGUCUCAGGACCUGUAAAUUGGGAUGAAGAGUUACCGCCUCAAUUGAAAUCGAAAUGGGAACGGUGGAUCACAUCACUCGUGCAUCUCCAGAAUUUUCAAAUUUCUCGCAAAUAUUCUGCAAUUUCAUUUCAUGAAGCUUUGCGUAGAGAGGUUCAUAUCUUCAGUGAUGCAUCUAAGGACGCAAUAGCUUCGGUAGCAUACUUAAAACUGAUAUCAGAUGAGGGAAGUGAUGUUUCAUUUUUGCUGGGCAAAUCAAAAGUAUCACCUGUUCAUGGUCAUACCAUUCCUCGCCUUGAGCUCUGCGCAGCAGUUCUAUCCAUUGCAGUUGCAGAGUUGGUGAAAGAGCAUUUGAACAUCCCCUCACAGGAUUUCUACUAUUACACAGAUAGCAAGAUAGUGUUGGGGUAUUUGUCAAACGAGGUACGGAGGUUCUAUGUGUAUGUCACCAAUAGGGUGAAUAGGAUCAGAGCAGCUAGUUCUCCGACUCAGUGGUACUUCAUUCCAACAGACAGUAACCCUGCUGACAUUGCAACGAGACGUAUCAAUGCAGAAGACUUGGUGAAUUCAACCUACCUAACGGGUCCAGACCUUUUGCGCAAUGACAUACAUGUACAAUUACCAUCUAGUGAAUUUCAGCUUGUAAAUCCUCAAGAGGAUACUGAGGUCCGCCCAGAAAUAUCAGUGAACAAAAUGAAAGUGAUCAGCCACAAAACAUGGGUUCAGAGAUUUUCAUUUUUCUCGUCAUGGAACAGUUUAGUGAGAGCUAUCAUGUUUCUGAAAGGAUUCAUUAGGAAACUUCACAAUGAGAGCAAACCCACACGAGCUGAAACGGAACAAUUUAUUGUGAAACUAGUACAACAGGAAGUUUAUGGUGAUGAAAUCAAUUCUUUGCAAACUGGACGUUCUUUGUCAAACAAAUCCAAAAUUCUUCCUCUUGCUCCUGUACAAGAUGAAAAUGGCAUUCUCAGAGUUGGAGGACGAUUGAAACAUGGAAAGGCUAUUUCCAUCAACACUCAGCCUGUGAUCAUUCCCCGAGACCAUCACAUUGCUAUCCUCUUAGUGCGACAUUUUCAUGGUAAAAUUCAUCACCAGGGCAGACACAUGACAGAGGGAGCUCUCCGUGCAUCGGGCUAUUGGGUGAUUGGCGGUAAGAGACUUGUGUCCUCUAUUAUUCGUCAUUGUGUGACUUGUCGAAAGUGUCGUGGACAAUUUCUAUUUCAAAAGAUGUCAGAUCUUCCGGAGGACAGAUUAUCUCCUGGACCACCUUUCACCUUUGUUGGUCUUGAUACAUUUGGACCAUGGUCAGUUCUCCAGCGUAAGACUCGAGGUGGAUCAGCUCAGCAAAAGAGAUGGGCAAUUUUAUUCACUUGCUUAGUUUCAAGAGCAGUUCACUUGGAAGUAGUAGAUGAGAUGAGCAGUGCAGCAUUCAUCAAUGCCUACCGCCGUUUUGUAGCAAUUCGUGGACCCAUAAAACUAUUGCGAUCAGAUAGGGGCACUAACUUUGUGGGUGCAAUUCAGGACUUGGGCAUUGAAGCAGAAUUUGUUGAGGAUGGAAGAAUCGCAAAAACUCUAGAAACCUAUGGAACUUCCUGGAAGUUUAAUCCUCCUCAUUCCUCUCACUUUGGAGGCUCAUGGGAGCGUAUGAUAGGGACCUGUAGGAGGAUUCUGGAUAACAUGCUCAUGCAAGAUAGGAAUAAACUAACUCAUGAUUCAUUAGUGACCUUGAUGGCUGAAGUUUCAGCGAUAGUGAAUUCUCGUCCGUUGCUGCCCAUUUCAACAGAUCCAGAAAACCCAGAAAUUCUGUCUCCCUCAGUGUUGUUGACUCACAAGAAAGGUCAAAACGAUACAUGCCCGUUUCCACAGUUUGGGACCAAGGAUAUGUUACGUAGUCAAUGGAAACUGGUUCAGGGUCUAGCAGAUGAAUUUUGGUCGAAAUGGACGAAAGAGUAUAUCUCAUCUCUUCAAGUCAGGAGAAAGUGGAAGCAGCCAGAAGUGAACUUGAAUGUCGGUGAUAUUGUUCUUGUAAGAGAGAAGGAUUUUCAUAGAUCCAUGUGGCCUAUGGCAAUAGUGACGAAACUUUUUCCAAGUGACGAUUUCCUUGUCAGGAAAGUGGAAAUCAAACUCUAUAAGGAAAACAAGAUUUGUGUGUUCGUUCGACCCGUAGUCGAUCUUGUCCUGUUGGUAUCUUCAGAUGAUUAGUGACUCAAUUUUCAUGGAUAAUGACUGAUAUUUGAUUUUAUGUAUUAUGUAUGUAUGAUUUUGCUAGUUUAGCAUAUUGAAUUUGAUGUAGUGAUUUUUUUAUAAAAAUCAGGAGGGGAGUGUGCUGGAUUCCGGAUUUUUUUUUUUUAUAUUUGUCCGGGAUUGGUUUUGUUUUGUAUGUUACAAAAAGCUCCCAGCACGUUCACGGCAUGGUACCCGUACUCAUGCAUUUUGACUUCCAACUUUCCACAACUUCAUGGCACCAAAGUUAUUUUACCCUCCCUGGAGGUUGUCUCUCUGCCAUUAAAAGUAAAGAAACA